ACUAUCAUUAUCCAGCAGUUUAAAUCAGGAUCUGACUGUAAUUACGCCUACUUAAUAGCAUCUUGACUCAUUAAAUUUCUUAUGCACAUAUUGCCCGUCACCCUCAUAAGAGGUAAGUCGUAACAAAGUAGAUCUUCUG
rnacentral:rRNA from 1 species